rnacentral:piRNA from 1 species
UGGAAGCCGUGGUUUCAUGAGCAUAC